rnacentral:rRNA from 1 species
CAGCCGCCGCGGUAAUACGGAGGGAGCUAGCGUUGUUCGGAAUUACUGGGCGUAAAGCGCGCGUAGGCGGUUACUCAAGUCAGAGGUGAAAGCCCGGGGCUCAACCCCGGAACUGCCUUUGAAACUAGGUGACUAGAAUCUUGGAGAGGUCAGUGGAAUUCCGAGUGUAGAGGUGAAAUUCGUAGAUAUUCGGAAGAACACCAGUGGCGAAGGCGACUGACUGGACAAGUAUUGACGCUAAGGUGCGAAAGCGUGGGGAGCAAACAGGAUUAGAUACCCCCGUAGUCCCUGUCUCUUAUAC